UACGUAGGUGGCAAGCGUUGUCCGGAUUUACUGGGCGUAAAGAGCGCGCAGGCGGUCGAUUUAGUCGCGUGUGAAAGCCCCCGGCUCAACUGGGGAGGGUCACGCGAUACUGAUCGACUCGAAGGCAGGAGAGGGUAGUGGAAUUCCCGGUGUAGUGGUGAAAUGCGUAGAGAUCCGGAGGAAGACCGGUGGCGAAGGCGGCCUGCUGGGCAGAUACGUGACACUGAGGCGCGACAGCGUGGGGAGCAAACAGG
rnacentral:rRNA from 1 species